GCAAUGAAAAAUGUAUAACCGUAGAAUGCUUUAUACUUGUUGUAUAGUUCUUCUUCAUCAAACUGAAGCGAACUGAAUUCUUCGGCGAUCUUAUUUCCCGCAUAUUUAUGAAGGAAGAUUUUCUGAGCUUCAAUCUUUGCAGCAAAGUAAUGCUCUGUCCAGCAAUUUUCCGGCAGAAUAAAUGUAGCGACGGGAAGAUAACCUGCUUUGUGUAUCUUGGCCACCUGACCCGGAAUCGUAUCUAUUUCAGGAUACGCAUUCACCCAGAAGUCAUUGAUUUCUGCAGGACGUUCGUCAGUAAACCACGAACUUUCAGAAACAGCAAUGUAUCCUCCCGGUUUCAAAUAUCUACGCCACUCAUUCAGUCCCCGUUCAAAACCAAUAUUAUAAAUGGCUCCUUCCGACCAGAUCAGGUCUAAUUCCUCAUUCUGAAAAGGAAGGUUAUCCAUAGAACCGACAAUGCCUUUCACUCUGUCCUGCAAACCCGCUUGCUUUGCAUUGCGAUUGAAGAUAUCAAUAAAGUCGGGAAAAAGGUCAAGUCCGGUGAUCUGCCCGGGAAUGUGUCCGGCCAAUACCAUUGUCUGUCCUCCAGUUCCACAGCCGAUGUCGGCUAUAAGGGAUUUGUCGGUGAGGUUAUCUAUAAAGCUCAGCGCUUUCAGUGUUACGUCAGGACUUCCGGGUCCUUGGCGUUCCAUAUUGGAGAAGAAGUCACAGAUUAAUUUAAGUUCGAAAUCGUGAAUUGUUUUAUUUUCGUUACUCAUUUUCUUAAUGUAUUUUGCAUACACGGAAAGCAUAACAAUGCCUUCAUCAUUGUACGCAGAUUAAACUUGAAUUAUAAUAAUAGAAAACUACUCUCGAAAGGAGUUAUCCGAGAGUAAACGAAGGGACAAUCUGUAUCAGAAACACAGAUUGUAGAGCCUUGGAGUCAGACUACGAGUGAUAAGAUCCGUGGUCAAAAGGGAAACAGCCCAGACCACCAGCUAAGGUCCCCAAUGUCGUACUAAGUGGAAAAGGAUGUGGGGUUUCAUAAACAACCAGGAUGUUGGCUCAGAAGCAGCCACCAUUUAAAGAGUGCGUAAUAGCUCACUGGUCGAGAGACCCUGCGCCGAAGAUUCCCGGGGCUAAAGUACGAAACCGAAGCUGUGGCUGUAUACGUAAAGUAUACGGGGUAGGGGAGCGUUCCCAUAGGGUAGAAGUCGAACUGGAAGGUUCGGUGGACUUGUGGGAAGUGAGAAUGUUGGUAUGAGUAGCGAAAAGAAAGGUGAGAAUCCUUUCCACCGAAAGCAUAAGGAUUCCUGAGCAACGAUCGUCGUCUCAGGGUAAGUCGGGACCUAAUCCGAGGCAGAGAGCGUAGGAGAUGGACAACUGGUUGAUAUUCCAGUACCGGUAGUAAUUGUUUGAGCAAUGGAGUGACACAGAAGGGCAGGCAAGCAUGCGAAUGGAAGAGCAUGUGUAAGCGUGUAGGGUGGUGCAUAGGCAAAUCCGUGCACUGAAAGCCUGAGGCGUGAUGCGGAGUGAGCAGAGAUGCGAGCGAAGUUGUUGACCCCACACUGUCGAGAAAAGCUUCUAGUGAGAGAGCUACCGCCCGUACCGUAAACCGACACAGGUAUGCGGGGAGAGAAUCCUAAGGUGCGCGGGAGAACCCUCGUUAAGGAACUCGGCAAAAUGUACCCGUAACUUCGGGAUAAGGGUAGCCACUGUUGUGAAGUCCCAUGCGGAUGGAGCAUAGAGUGGUCGCAGAGAAGAGGCCCAAGCGACUGUUUACCAUAAACACAGGUGCCUGCUAAAGCGAAAGCUGACGUAUAGGUGCUGACACCUGCCCAGUGCCGGAAGGUUAAGGAAGGAUGUUCGGAUUAGUCCAAAGCAUUCGACUGAAGCCCCGGUGAACGGCGGCCGUAACUAUAACGGUCCUAAGGUAGCGAAAUUCCUUGUCGGGUAAGUUCCGACCCGCACGAAAGGUGUAACGAUUUGGGCACUGUCUCAACGAGGGACCCGGUGAAAUUGAAAUACCUGUGAAGAUGCAGGUUACCCGCGACUGGACAGAAAGACCCCAUGGAGCUUUACUGUAACCUGACAUUGGGUUUUGAUACAUUACGUACAGGAUAGGUGGGAGGCAUGGAAAGCUGGACGCUAGUCUGGCUGGAGCCGCCGUUGGGAUACCACCCUUGAUGUAUUGAAAUUCUAACCGCGAGAGUAACGAAAUCCGGGACAGUGUCAGGCGGGCAGUUUGACUGGGGCGGUCGCCUCCGAAAGAGUAACGGAGGCGCCCAAAGGUUCCCUCAGCGCGGCCGGAAAUCGCGCGAAGAGUGUAAAGGCAGAAGGGAGCUUGACUGCGAGUCAAACACGACGAGCAGGUACGAAAGUAGGGCUUAGUGAUCCGGUGGUACCGAGUGGAAGGGCCAUCGCUCAACGGAUAAAAGCUACCCUGGGGAUAACAGGCUAAUCUCUCCCAAGAGUCCAUAUCGACGGGGAGGUUUGGCACCUCGAUGUCGGCUCAUCACAUCCUGGGGCUGAAGUCGGUCCCAAGGGUUGGGCUGUUCGCCCAUUAAAGUGGUACGUGAGCUGGGUUCAGAACGUCGUGAGACAGUUCGGUCCCUAUCCAUCGCGGGCGCAAGAGAUUUGAAGGGGGCUGCUCCUAGUACGAGAGGACCGGAGUGGACGAACCGCUGGUGUACCAAUUAUCCCGCCAGGGGUACAGUUGGGUAGCUACGUUCGGAAAGGAUAAACGCUGAAAGCAUCUAAGCGUGAAACCAGCCUUAAGAUGAGAUCUCUCAUAGAGCAAUCUAGUAAGACACCUUAAAGAAGAUGAGGUUGAUAGGUCGGGAGUGUAAGUACAGCAAUGUAUUGAGCGGACCGAUACUAAUAUGUCGAGGGCUUGACUUA
rnacentral:rRNA from 1 species